CCUACGGGGCGCAGCAGUGAGGAAUAUUGGUCAAUGGCCGAGAGGCUGAACCAGCCAAGUCGCGUGAGGGAUGACGGCCCUACGGGUUGUAAACCUCUUUUGUCGGGGAGCAAGACCCGCCACGAGUGGCGGAGCGAGAGUACCCGAAGAAAAAGCAUCGGCUAACUCCGUGCCAGCAGCCGCGGUAAUACGGAGGAUGCGAGCGUUAUUCGGAAUAACUGGGCGUAAAGGAUGCGUAGGCGGUUAAACAA
rnacentral:rRNA from 1 species